rnacentral:ncRNA from 2 species
AAUAGGGAAUACGGGGGCUUGAGUGAAUCAGGCUGAGAUUGCAGCUGCUAUCCGCUGUUGACCGUUAAUCUGAACUGGGUAAUGCCAGCGUAGAGAAUAUCCGACCCUGCCUA